rnacentral:rRNA from 1 species
AAUAGAUACCCUGGUAGUCCACGCCGUAAACGAUGAGUGCUAAGUGUUAGGGGGUUUCCGCCCCUUAGUGCUGCAGCUAACGCAUUAAGCACUCCGCCUGGAGAGUACGGUCGCAAGACUGAAACUCAAAGGAAUUGACGGGGGCCCGCACAAGCGGUGGAGCAUGUGGUUUAAUUCGAAGCAACGCGAAGAACCUUACCAGGUCUUGACAUCCCACUGACCGCUAUGGAGACAUAGAUUUCCCUUCGGGGACAGUGGUGACAGGUGGUGCAUGGUUGUCGUCAGCUCGUGUCGUGAGAUGUUGGGUUAAGUCCCGCAACGAGCGCAACCCUUGAUCUUAGUUGCCAUCAUUUAGUUGGGCACUCUAAGGUGACUGCCGGUGACAAACCGGAGGAAGGUGGGGAUGACGUCAAAUCAUCAUGCCCCUUAUGACCUGGGCUACACACGUGCUACAAUGGACGGUACAAACGGUUGCCAACCCGCGAGGGGGAGCUAAUCCGAUAAAACCGUUCUCAGUUCGGAUUGUAGG